rnacentral:sRNA from 1 species
UUGACACUAAGGGCGGAGUGACAUAAUUUCAGGAGUGAGGGUUAGGGAGAGGUUUCCCCCUCCCCCUGGUGUUCUUAGUAAGCCUGGAAGCUAAUCACUAAGAGUAUCACCCAGGGAAAGAUCAUCAGAAGUUCACUUUUUGUACUAAAU